CUUUCUGAUCUGUGCUUCCAACUCCAUGUGACCUUCAGCACUUUUGGCAGCGUCAUUUGUGGCCGGUGAGAGCUGUUGCUGCCCUACUGGCUAAAUAUUUUAUCAGCAUGAAAAAUGCAACCUUCGAAACUAUAUUAGCCAACAGCUGGACUCCAAUGAUCCCAGGCACAUCUCAAAGUCCUAGAAGACACUACAGUGUCCAUCAUAGUCUUGUGACUCUUAUAAAACUUUCCAGUAGGAUUUGAAAGAAAUGCAGCCGCAGCACGCAACUCCAAGAAUAUCAGUGAACCGCCUGCAUGAGUCUGUGUCUGGCUCUGAGUCCCAUUGUCAACAUCUUAUAACAUCACAACGGUGCACUAACAUGCUUGUCAUAGAAAGCCUUGAAUAAUUUUGAGACUUUAAAAGUCACUGAAAGUGAUAUUCUGUGUGAAAUUGGGAAAACUCUGCUGAAUUUCAA